AGAGUUUGAUCCUGGCUCAGAGUGAACGCUGGCGGCGUGCCUAACACAUGCAAGUCGAACGAGAACGGGUCUAGCUUGCUAGAUUGUCAGCUAAGUGGCGAACGGGUGAGUAAUGUAUAGCUAACAUGCCUUUUAGAGGGGGAUAACAGAUGGAAACGUCUGCUAAUACCCCAUAUUCCCUUUGUAUUAAUUAUGAGGGGGAAAUGCUUUUGUGCUAAGAGAUUGGGCUAUAUUGCAUCAGCUAGUUGGUAGGGUAACGGCUUACCAAGGCGAUGACGCAUAACUGGUUUGAGAGGAUGAUCAGUCACACUGGAACUGAGACACGGUCCAGACUCCUACGGGAGGCAGCAGUGAGGAAUAUUGCACAAUGGGGGAAACCCUGAUGCAGCAACGCCGCGUGGAGGAUGACACUUUUCGGAGCGUAAACUCCUUUUAUAAGGGAAGAUAAUGACGGUACCUUAUGAAUAAGCACCGGC
rnacentral:rRNA from 1 species